AAUGAACGCUGGCGGCAGGCUUAACACAUGCAAGUCGAGCGAGCGGCGGACGGGCGAGCAAGGUCGGGGAAACUGCCUGAUGGAGGGGGAAAACUACGGGAAACGGUAGCUAAUACCGCUUACCAUCAGAUGUGGUCAGAUGGGAUUAGCUAGUUGGUGGGGUAGUGGCUCACCUAGGCGACGAUCCCUAGCCGGUCUGAGAGGAUGAGCGGCCACACUGGAACUGAGACACGGCCCAGACUCCUACGGGAGGCAGCAGUGGGGAAUAUUGCGCAAUGGGCGCAAGCCUGAUGCAGCCAUGCCGCGUGUGUGAAGAAGGUCUUCGGGUUGUAAAGCUCUGUCAGUGGGGAGGCGGUACUCGCAGAAGAAGCACCGGCUAACUCCGUGCCAGCAGCCGCGGUAAUUC
rnacentral:rRNA from 1 species